AAAUGUGACAGAUUAGAUCAAACUAAGUAACAUCCCUUCCUCCCUCACUGCUCCACAUGUGUCCCUCCUGGACAAUUCUUUGGUCAAGGGUAUAGGAAUAGCUGCACUCCCCCUUGCUACAACCUCCAAACAAGCUCUCAGUAGGGUAAGGAGCAGGGUAAGGAGUCAAGAGUGUCAUGGAGCAAAGUGGGAAUUUUAUGUAGGAAACAACUC
ensembl:misc_RNA 7SK 7SK RNA